AGAGCGAACGCUGGCGGCAGGCCUAACACAUGCAAGUCGAGCGCCCCGCAAGGGGAGCGGCAGACGGGAGAGUAACACGUGGGAACGUACCCUUCAGUUCGGAACAACCCAGGGAAACUUGGGCUAAUACCGAAUACGUCCGUAAGGAGAAAGAUUUAUCGCUGAAGGAUCGGCCCGCGUCUGAUUAGCUUGUUGGUGAGGUAACGGCUCACCAAGGCGACGAUCAGUAGCUGGUCUGAGAGGAUGAUCAGCCUCACUGGGACUGAGACACGGCCCAGACUCCUACGGGAGGCAGCAGUGGGGAAUAUGGACAAUGGGCGCAAGCCUGAUCCAGCCAUGCCGCGUGGGUGAUGAAGGCCCUAGGGUUGUAAAGCCCUUUCGGCGGGGAAGAUAAUGACGGUACCCGCAGAAGAAGCCCCGGCUAACUUCGUGCCAGCAGCCGC
rnacentral:rRNA from 1 species